GACGAACCGUGCGAACGUUGCUCGGAAUCACUGGGCUUAAAGGGCGCGUAGGCGGGCCAUCAAGUCAGGGGUGAAAUCCUCCAGCUCAACUGGAGAACAGCUUUUGAUACUGGUGGCCUCGAGUGGGGUAGGGGCAUGUGGAACUUCCGGUGGAGCGGUGAAAUGCGUAGAUAUCGGAAGGAACGCCGGUGGCGAAAGCGACGUGCUGGACCCUUUCUGACGCUGAGGCGCGAAAGCGUGGGGAGCGAACAGG
rnacentral:rRNA from 1 species